UACGUAGGUGACAAGCGUUGUCCGGAUUUACUGGGCGUAAAGGGCGCGCAGGCGGUCGUUCAAGUCGAGUGUGAAAGCCCCCGGCUCAACUGGGGAGGGUCAUUCGAUACUGAUCGACUCGAAGGCAGGAGAGGGAAGUGGAAUUCCCGGUGUAGUGGUGAAAUGCGUAGAUAUCGGGAGGAACACCAGUGGCGAAGGCGACUUCCUGGCCUGUUCUUGACGCUGAGGCGCGAAAGCUAGGGGAGCAAACGGG
rnacentral:rRNA from 1 species